UCCUCCCGCGACCCCGCCCCAGGGCCGCUCACGUCUGUUCCGGGGCGGAUUACCCCUCUCGGAACCGCGCAGCACUGCGGCUCCGGUGAGUGGGGGGAGGCGGGGUUGGGGGGGAGGGUCGGGGGCCACCGGGUCCAGAAACCGUUACCGGACGGGCCAGGGUGAUGCCCGCGGGACGGGGCAGGGGCGAUCGAACCCAAGACCCGCGUGGGAAUGGAGGGGGUCGGGGGGCUCGCGACACUGCUGCCCUUAGCGCGCCCCAGCUGCCUCCUAAGCAGGGGACGAAGGAAAGGGCGCGCGGGGCCCUGGGGACUAACGGAUGCUCCCCCUAGAUCGCUUCCAGCCCCCUGAGCCCUCUCCCUCAAGGGAAGGGCACACUCACUGACCCUCCGGAGCCUCCAAAACAGAAGUCAUUGAAACCUGCAUCUUCCUUCUCUGCCCCCCUCGCCCACUCCCUCCUGCAAAGUUGCUGCAGCCGUGGAUUUCGAUUUUAUGCACCCCGAAGCCAGCCAGUUUCUCCGGAACUCCCCUCCGAAAAACCUCCUCUUCCUGCAGGGCAACAAACUCAGUUCUUUUCUGAAAAUAAACUACCUCACCUGCAGGGAACUAGACUGGGGGGGAGGAAAACCGGUGCACAUGCCGAAGCUUCCAAAUUCGUACAGUGUAAAAUCACAAAGCCAUAGAUUUAUAUACUGCAAUGUGUCUAUUCAGAGCAUCGGUUCUUUUCACUAGUGUAACACUUUGAUGUCUUUGACACAACUGACUUGCUCUCCAGUCGGUCGUUUUUGGCUGCAUUUCAUAGCUGUAGAGCCAGGAUCAGACAGGCAAAGUUACUUGUUCAAGGUCACAGAACUAUUAACAAAGAACUUUUGAGCUCCCUGACUCCACAGAUUUUCUGACUCAAACACCGAAUGAUUUUUCCCCCAAUUCUGUUUCCUGCCCCCUAAAACAAUAUUGUAUUAAUAAUACAUGGCAUGUUUGGUGGCACUGACUUCCAUUAAUAGCUAGAUGUUCUUGAAUGAUUAAGAUAAAUUACCAGCCUACUUUAAUUUUUCCACUAUACAUUUGGCAGUAAGAAGUAUAUCUGGCUUGAAAAAAAUAGUCCAGCUCUUUCAACAGAAAUUGGUUUCGUUGGAAAGCAGAGAAGGAAGUAGUAAAAAAGAAGUCAAGAAUGCUUUGUCACAAGUGAUUCCAGAUGAGAGUUCCCAGAGAUGUCCUCUAACACUUAGCCUCCUCUGACUAGCUUGUUUUCGGUAGCAGAAUGGCAAGCAGCAAGCACAUUUAAAAAAUAGUAAUAAUCCUUGAAUGCCCUAGGAACUUAUCACACUGAAGAAAUAUGGUUGUAGAUACUGCUUUCAUUUUCUGUCUUCACCUGUCAAAAUGACACUGCACAAGACUGUACACUGCCACAAGUCAAAAUAUGAUCAUAAGCCUUAAUCCUAAAUUCUUGAAUUAAAAGGUGUCUAAAUUGUUUUUUAACCCCCCUAAAUAAUUCAGUUUACAACUAAUACAUUUCUCCCAAAUAUGACACAGUCCAUCAUUAUUUGCAGAACAGCAUAUAAAAGCUGUGAGGUCUGGAUAAACAAUGUGCAAUGACUCAGGCAGCAAAGUAACAUGUAUAAAAGAGUAAACUGGCCACAAUGCUAGAUGUGUUCUUUCAGUUGAUUGUUGAAAAAUAACUCUGUUAAGAGAAAAUUAACUUUCAUUAUGAUGAUGAGUAGCCAUGUAAAAAUAUUAUUUGCUAGCAUCUGCCUGGUGGGCUGCCGUCUAUGGGGUCGCACAGAGUCGGACAUGACUGAAGCAACUUAGCAGCAGCAGCAGCAGCGACCUCCAAAGCUGACCUGAACAAAGGGAAACUUGUUUGUAAUAUUCAGUUAACUCGGUGAGUCUUCAAUGGAUCAAGGAAAAAAAUACCUUUGUAACCUUGGCUGCAUCCUCUGCCAUGAAUAUAUAAAAACAAUGGAGUGUACUGAAAGGAUAAACCACUCUCAGCUGCUGGCACCCAAGUAGGAGAGCUGACGGAGAGACACAGACAUCACAUAAAGAACCACAGGGCACCCACAGCCACCAACAGCCAUCCAAUGGCUGAUGUGCGUCCACCAACUAAGAAAUGGAUGAAGGGAGAGGCAAUUCUACCAAUCUGAGCAAACAAAGAAAGGCACAUCCAACCUAUACAAAGGAAGAGAAAGAUCUAAGUAAUACAGGUUGAAGACAUAGAAAUAUGUUCCAUCACUGUGUACACUGGAAAUUCUAAACCUGACUGACAUCUGGAAUGCAACUGAAUCAGCAUGACCUGACAGAGCUACCCAAGCUUUACAAGGAUCUUGAAUAAAAUCAGCUCUGAUUCCCCUCUGCUGAAAAUCAUCUGUUUUUCAACCAAACUCACAUAUUAAAUAUGAUUUUUAUGACCUCUAUUAUAUUAUACCUUGCCUUGAGACUAGGCAUGCAACUUAUCUGCAUCUAUUUUUUCUUAUGCUAGAUUGUAACCUACUUGUAGUUUGAGCCUAUUUAAAUGAAUCAUUUAUCUG